GCCACGGGCGACGUGCGUGGGCGGGGCCUUCGAGAGCGGCGGCCACGCCGGCCAGGGCCGGACCCGCGUGGGGCCGGCGGGAGCGGUUCGGAGGGUCUUUGCUGGACGCAGAAAACGCCGCAGGGGCCGCUCCACGGGUCCGCGCGUGGGAAACGCGAGUUUGCCGGCACCAGUGCGGGUGUGUGCGCGGGGCUCUCCCCGGGCCCGCCGCUGCCUCCUGAGGCGAGGGCCAGGAGGACUCAGCCCAGGGUCGGAGCUGGGCCGCGGCGUGGGCAGCCCGGGGCACACGCGCGGGGCACAAAGCCGCAGGAGCUGGAAAGCAACAACAGAGACUGCAUAUGCUCAAGAACAAAUAGAAGAUUUUAAAAACAUGACAGAUGUAUUGGGCCAUAAGGAAAUUCUCAGAAACCCAAAGAGUUACGGACUAAUGCCACCAUGGCUGACAGCAGUACAACAAAAUAUAGAGAAAAGCCACAUCCUUCCUGGGAUAUGGGCCGUCCUCUGCCUGGGGGUGAAGUUCUUGUUGCUGCCUGCUGCUGCCUGGUUCAGGUUUGGUUCUCUCCAUUCAUGUUGGAGAUCACUGCCAAACAUUUGUGGAAAAUGGAAUGGAAAAAGGUACAUUUAUUUUGGUACAAAAAGCUUAGAAAUAUGUACUUUUUAAAAAAAAUAAUAUUUUCCAUGAACUUUUUUAAGUUGAUGGGUCCUCUUCCUGGGGCUUUCUUUGAAGCUUACAUCUCCCCAGGCCAAUGGCCAGAGCAAAGGUAUGCACAGUUUUCCUGAGUGUUGCCACACAGAUUUCCAACGUCAUCCUCUGGUCAGAAAAUCUGAUUUUGUUCAUUUGCUUGCAUCCUCGCCAGCACUGGAAUUGCUCAGGUUUUUGAAAGUUUGGUUUUGCCUGAAGGCAAACAUACCUAUCUCUUCUUUCUGGACUCUGGGGAAGUCCUGUGUCAUUUCCUUUGAUCCUAUCGAUCCUUUGCAUUUUGUCUUUCCCGAGCUGCCUGUUCAUGCAUCUUGCCCAUUUUUUACAGGUUGGUUUCCAUGCUUAAUAAUGCCUUUUCUAUUUUAUAUGAAUGUCUUGGGAAAAUUUUUGGAUAAAAAAUUUACUGUGCUGGCAGAAAAUGAUUUCUUAGUAAAAUAUUUUGAAUUUUCUUGUAUUGAGCAGUAAUGUCGUAUGCAUAGCCUGUUUGAUAUUUGGGCUUAAUAAAAGUAAAAUUUUGGCUUAUUGGAAUUUUAUUUCUUUGAUAAAUAUGUUAGAGUUGGGAAGAGUGGGAAAUGUUUAUAGGUGAUCAUUUUAGAGAACUGUAUUUUAAUUCUAAGUGCAGUCAGUGACUUCCCUGCCGUGGAGAGUUUUGCACUGUGAAGACUUCAUGUAGAUGUGUGGUGGGACUUGUAGCUCAUACCCAUAUCUAGCAUCCUCAAAGUGGAUGCUCCCUCCUGGGUCUUUGUGUUUCUGAAAGGGCAGACCUGCUCAGAGCGCCCUGACAGUGCAGCCACUCCCAUUCUUCAGCUGUGACUGAUACAAGUGAAGCGAAUUGCCUUAUUGCUCCAGCUUAUUUGCUGGGCAGCCUGACCAUGGCGGAUGGCCCACAUUCCCUGCCACGCCAUUCUCCCUGAGCUGUGUGGCCUGCUAUGUGGCUGAUGCCUGGGUAGCCAGUUUGUGAGAGUGGGUCCUUGGCAGAUUUUUCAUGUUUUGGGAGGAGAUGACUGAGGGUGGUGGUUCUGGCCCACCCUGAUUGUCUGCAUGCUGUUCUGGGUGUGCAGAAUGAGAUACAUGGUUCCAUGGAACUGCUGGGACUCGAGUCCCUUCCCAAGGCAUGCACUCAAGUGUACCAGAGCCUUGAAAAUGGUUAAAGACCCUGGCUGCCACUAACUGGUUGCUGUGGCUUUUAUGAGACCGUGUGCCCAGCCAAAGACCCCAAUCCCUGCUGGUCACUAGCUUCUGUCAUUUCCUGUAUUAAACAAAUCAUGAAUAAUACUUUCUAGGAGACUGAGAAAUUCUAGGGUAUAGCAUCCCCGUGGCGGGUGUGGGUUUAUUGCCACUUGGCAUUGGAAGGAAGGCAUUGGUUUGGCAGUGUGGGAGAGGAAACAGACAUGGAUCAGGAUGUGCACUCACCAGUGUUAAGUAAUGUGCACGUUGGAGAUGCAGAUGCAGCCUGAAUGAGGGAAACAGGGUGGGGUGCUAUGGCAGGAGGUGGCGAUCACAGUAGGAGCUCACACACAAGUAAGUGGGCAGUGGAGAAACAUCUAUCUUCCCAUUUGCUGGGACUUGAGACGAAAGUUUCAGAGAACAGAUUCUGAAGAAUCUGACUUCUGGGGAAUAGAUUAGGGUCUGGUGACAUGAAAUACGAUGGGUCUGGACCAUUAAACUUUGAGAAAUAUUCUUAGCACCUGUUUCUUGGCAUUGCAAAAUGUUUGUAGCCCAAUACUUUUGGCUCUGAUGGAAUGGACUGCGAUGUUUCAAUCUCAGGAGAGCAGAUUAAAGUGGAGGCACAGAUGAAACUCCAGGUCUGCUGUAUGACUCUGGACAAGUUAUCCAUGCAUCUUCAAAUUGCUUGCCUUGUCUGUAACUAAGAAAAUAGUACCUUCCUCCCCGUACUGUGAAAACUAAACAGCAUAAAUAGACAGGUGAGCGUUUCGUCCACUGGAAAGGAGUAAACACUAGCAAGGUAGCCACAUGUCUGGAUCCGACUGGUUCUUUCACAAAUGGUAGAGUUAGGAAAGGCAUCCCCAGACUCUCCAGCAUCUCUCUUUUUAAGUUUCAUGUUUAGCAAAAAUAAUGCAUGCACACAGCUUGAGAAAUAAGACACAGAUUGAGGACUCCUUAUCAAGAUGCUUGGGACCAGAAAUAUUUCAGAUUUCAGAUUUCUAAAAAGUGAAAUUAAAAGAUAAGUUUAUUUUGGUACAAAAGCUUUUGAAAUGCAUGUAUAGUUAUUUCAUAAUGUGCAUUUUUAUGAACUUUUUGAAGACUCCUUAUAUGUGUAGAUUUCAAGUUUCUUUUUUGACACAAAAAUCAUUCUCUGGAUACUUGUGGAAGUCCCAGCAUAUCUGCAUAUGCACCACGAGCUACCUUGGGGAGGGGGCUGAAUGUGCAAUUCACUUGUGUUUCAUGUGUACCUUACAUACAUAACCCAAAGGUGAUUUUACUGCGCUUUAAAAAUAUUGCGCAUUAGACAAAGUUUCAUGAUGUAGACUUUUCAGUUUUGGAUCUUGGAGCAGUUUGGAUUUUAGAUUUGUGAUGCUCAGUCUGAGACAUACUUGGACAUCACAUACCCAGACGAGACCUUACUGGUGUGAUCGCACCUCCCUUUCACCCAGAUCUGCUCCUGGGAAGAGACAGUGUGCAGCCCUUCAGGGAGUUUUCCUGUGUUACUGGGUGGAAUGCAGUGUUGCUGUGAAUAGCUCACUGACUUUGCACAUUGGUUUUUUACUUUUCUCUCAUGUGUGAGGAUUCAACUCUCCUUUUCUACCUCUUCCUAGCUCUCUUUCUUCCAGGAUUACUGUCACAUUAUUUCAGUUAAGCUAGUGAUCAGUGUGUAUUGCUAACUGUGUGAAUUCUUCCUUGCAGAUUCACGAAGUGUAUUGUAGGUAUACCCUGCUUUCAUCUUGUCUUGGAUUAAUGCGGUCAUUGUUCCUCCUUGUGUUAUCAUCCUAUUUAAUGCGUUUUCUAACUGUGUGCACAUUGAUUUUGGUAGAACCAAGUAGUAGACCAGGCUUAUGUUGUUCCUGUUAUAGGUUUCCAUAUUUCCUUAUUGGCUGCAUCACCUCCUCCUGCUUUUCAUUUUCUCAACAAGUAUCCUCGCGUCUGGAUGAGCCAUGACGAGCUCUAGGCAUCUGGAGCCCUCUGUCCUCGGCACCAUCUGUUGGGAAUACAAGACUUCCUCUGCUCUUCUGGGUUGAAUCUAUUUCCUGCAGCUCUUUCUCCAUUUAUUUUUUUAUUUUGCUGGAUCACACCCUCCAAUGACUUCCAAAGAGAAGGAAAUGGAAGGUAAUGCUUUUGCAUUGUCCUACAUCUCAAAAUAUCUUUGAUCAGUCGCACACUAGGUUGGGAGCUUGGCUGGACAGAGAGCUCCUUUAGGACUUUUAGUUCAGCAUUGGCUGUCAGGGAGUGUGAUCAGUCUGGAUUUGUAACUCAGAGUCAUUGAGAAAUCCCAGCUCAUUCUGAUUCUCCUGCUUUGGAUAUGAUAGGGAUGCUGCUUUCGCUCCCGCACAUUCUCUGAAAUUCUUUCAACAUCAUUUCCUUUACCUUGAAUCCUCUGCGGUAUCAUUAAGAUGUCCAGUCUUGUAUGCUUUUCCAGCCCUGUGCUGGGCACUGCAGUAGCCAUUCUACCUCAUGCUUCAUAUUUUAAAUAUGAGAAAUUUUCUUGAAUUGAUGUUUCCCUAAUAACUUUCACUUGUGUUCUUGGUCUCAUUUUUGGAAACCUUCCUUUUUAUGCUUUUCAGAGGCUGGACCUCUUGGAUUAGUCGGUUUCAUCCCUAAUAUUCUCAUAUAAUUCCAUCCUUUUUUAUUAUUUUUUGAGUGAUUUCUUUAAAUUUAUCUUCCAACUAUUUAUUAAAGUUGUAUAUUGAUGUUAAUUAUAUUUUUAAUUGUGAUAUUUUCCCCUAUUCUCCAGUGUUCCUGACUUACAUACAAUAUAGAUGGAGUAUUUGACCCUAACGCUGAAGACAUUAACACACAUCUGAAAUUUCCUUCUGUUCUCUACACUGUCACCUUCCCAUGCUUUGGAUUUUUCUCUCCUGUCAGAGUCUUUUCUUACGUUUCUGUGCUGUACCUCUGCAUCUCUUUUCUGAUUCCUGUCUGUGUGUCCAUCCAUAUUUAUCUAUGUAUCACUGUGACUGGGUCAGAGGAUGCUUAUUCCGGUCAGAUAUGACUUCUGGGUGUGUCUGUGGGGACAUUAGCCUUAGGGUGGAUAGAUGAGUAUGGCAGAAGACCCUCCCUUGUGUGGGUGGGCAUCACCCCAAUCUCUAGGGACCAAUACAGGAAACAGUGCAGGAAUGUAUAUCUCCCUGGCUCCUUGCCUGACUGCUUGAGUUGGGACAUCAGCCUGCUCCUGCCCUUGGUCCUCCUGGUCCUCACCUUCAGACUUGGCCAACAUGUGCACCAUUGUCACCUUAGUCCUCACCUUUGGACUUGGUCAACAUCUGCACCAUUGGUCAUCACUUUCAGACCUGGUUGGAAUCCACUGUUGGUCCCUAGGUCCCCAGCCCUGGACCGCAGCACUGCCCUUCCUGGUUCCCCUGCUUGUCCCUGGCAGAUCACGGGACUUCCCAGCCUGUACCAUCACAUGUGCCUGUUUCUUAUGAUCAGUCUCAUGUUAUGUGCGUAUGCACUUCACAGAGUUUGAGGCUGGGUGUUGUGGCACAGCAGGUUAAGCUGCUGCUUGGAAUGCCUUUAUUCCAUAUUGGAGUGCCUGGAAUUGAGCCCUACUUGUGAUCCAGCUCCCUACUAAUGUGCUUGGGAGUCAGCAGAUGGUGAACCAAGUACUUGGACCCUUGACACCCAUGUGAGAGGCCUGGAUGGAGUUCCUGGCACCUGGCUUCAUUCUGGCCCAGCCCUGGCUGUUGUGGAAAUUUGGGGUGUGAACCAGCAGAUGGAAGACUCCUCUCUCUGUCUCUCUGCCUUUCCUUUUUUUUAAUUUAGUAAAUAUAAAUUUCCAAGGUACAGUUUAUGGUUUACAUUGGCUCCCCCCCCCCAUAAUUUCCCUCCCACUCCCAUUCCAUUCACAUCAAGAUUCAUUUUCUUUUCUUUUUUUUUUAAUUCAUAGGCUUUUAUUGGGGUUCCGCUCCCGGGUGAGGUUCCCCGGUCCCAACAGAGCAACAGAGCGGGGCCAGGGAAGUCAUUGAUUUUCAAUUAUCUUUAUAUACAGAAGAUCGAUUCAGUAUAUAUUAAGUAAAGAUUUCAUCAGUUUGCACCCACACAGAAACACAAAGUGUAAAAAUACUGUUUGAGUACUAGUUAUAGCAUUACUUCACAUUGGACAACACAUUAAGGACAGAUCCCACAUGAGAAGUAAGUACACAGUGACUCCUGUUGUUGACUUAACAAUUUGACACUCUUGUUUAUGGCAUCAGUAAUCUCCCUAGGCUCUAGUCAUGAGUUGCCAAGGCUAUGGAAGCCUUUUGAGUUUGCCGACUUUGAUCUUAUUCCAACAGGAUCAUAGUCAAAGUGGAAGUUCUCUCCUCCCUUCAGAGAAAGGUACCUCCUUCUUUGAUGGCCCCGUUCUUUCCACUGGGAUCUCACUAGCAGAGAUCUUUCAUUUAGGUCUUCUUUUUUUUUUUUUCCAGAGUGUCUUGGCUUUCCAUUGCCUAAAAUACUCUCAUGGGCUCUUCAGCCAGAUCCGAAUGCCUUAAGGGCUGAUUCUGAGGCCAGAGUGCUAGUUAGGACAUCUGCCAUUCUAUGAGUCUGCUGUGUAUCCCGCUUCCCACGUUGGAUCGUUCUCUCCCUUUUUGAUUCUAUCAGUUAGUACUAGCAGACACUAGUCUUGUUUGUGUGAUCCCUUUGACUCUUAGACCUAUCAAUGUGAUCAAUUGUGAACUGAAGUUGAUCACUUGGAAUAGUGAGAUGGCAUUGGUACAUGCCACCUUGAUGGGAUUGUAUUGGAAUCCCCUGGCACAUUUCUAACUCCACCAUUUGGGGCAAGUCCGAUUGAGCAUGUCCUAAAUUGUACAUCUCCUCCCUCUCUUAUUCCCACUCUUAUAUUUAACAGGGAUCACUUUUCAGUUAAAAUUUCAACACCUAAGAAUAAUUGUGUGUUAAUUACAGAGUUCAACCAAUAGUACUAGAACAAAAAAAUACUAAAAUGGAUAAAGUAUUACAUUGUACUUCAACAGUCAGGACAAGAGCUGAUCAAGUCACUGUUUCUCAUAGUGUUCAUUUCACUUCAACAGGGUUCCCUUUUGGUGCUCAGUUAGUUGUUGCCAAUCAGGGAGAACAUAUGAUAUUUGUCCCUUUGGGACUGGCUUAAUUCACUCAGCAUAAUGUUUUCCAGAUUCCUCCAUCUUGUUGCAAAUGACUGGGUUUCAUUGUUUUUGACUGAUGUAUAGUAUUCUAUAGAAUACAUGUCCCAUAAUUUCUUUAUCCAGUCCACUAUUGAUGGGCAUUUGGGUUGGUUCCAGGUCUUAGCUAUUGUGAAUUGAGCUGCAAUAAACAUUAAGGUGCAGGCAGCUUUUUUGUUUGCCAUUUUAAUUUCCUUUGGGUAAAUUCCAAGGAGUGGGAUGGCUGGGUUGAAUGGUAAGAUUAUAUUCAGGUUUCUGAGGAAUCUCCAGACUGACUUCCAUAGUGGCUUUACCAGUUUACAUUCACACCAACAGUGGGUUAGUGUCCCUUUUUCCCCACAUCCUUGCCAGCAUCUAUUGUUGGUAGAUUUCUGAAUGUGAGCCAUUCUAACCGGGGUGAGGUGAAACCUCAUUGUGGUUUUGAUUUGCAUUUCCCUGAUUGCUAGUGAUCUUGAACAUUUUUUCAUGUGUCUGUUGGCCCUUUGUAUUUCCUCUUUUGAAAAAUGUCUAUUGAGGUCCUUGGCCCAUCUCUUAAGUGGGUUGUUUGUUUUGAUGUUGUGGAGUUUUUUGAUUUCCUUGUAGAUUCUGGUUAUCAACACUUUAUCUGUUUCAUAGUUUGCAGAUAUUUUUUCCCAUUCUGUAGGUUGCCUCUUCACUUUGCUGACUGUUUCUUUUGAAGUACAGAAACUUCUCAAUUUGAUGCAAUCCCAAAUGUUAAUUUUGGCUUUGACUGCCUGUGCUUCUGGGGUCUUUUCUAGGAAGUCUUUGCCAUUACCUAUAUCUUGCAGGGUUUCUCCAAUGCUCUGUAAUAAUUUUAUGGUGUCCGGUCAUAGAUUUAAGUCUUUAAACCAUGUUGAGUGAAUUUUUGUGUAAGGUGUAAGGUAGGGGUCUUGCUUCAUGAUUCUGCACGUGGAAAACCAGUUUUCCCAGCACCAUUUAUUGAAUAGACUGUCCUUACUCCAGGGAUUGGUUUUAGAUCCUUGAUCAAAUAUAAGUUGGCUGUAGAUGUUUGGAUUGAUUUCUGGUGUUUCUAUUCUGUUCCAUUGGUCUAUCCAUCUGUUUCUGUUCCAUUACCAUGCUGUUUUGAUUACAACUGCCCUGUGGUAUGGCCUGAAAUCUGGAUUGUGAUGCCUCCGGCUUUGUUUUUGUUGUACAAGAUUGCUUUAGCUGUUCAAGGUCUCCUGUGCCUCCAUAUGAAUCUCAGAAUCAUUUUUUCUAGAUCUGAGAAGAAGGUCUUUGGUAGUUUGAUUGGUAUUGCAUUGAAUGCAUAAAUUGCUUUUGGGAGAAUGGACAUUUUGAUGAUAUUGAUUCUUCCAAUCCGUGAGCAUGGAAGAUUUUUCCAUUUUUUGGUAUCCUCUUCUAUUUCUUUCUUUAAGGUUUUGUAAUUUUCAUCAUAG